UCCGCCCCACCGAGCUGGGCCUCCGGGACAAUUUUUUGCAGGCAGAGAAUUCCCCAUCACCACCCUACGAGGUCCUAGGGCCGGGCCAAGCGCCUUCCGGCCGGGCGUCACCGCUCAGCCGGCUCCUCCAUAGUACCCGUCAGCCGUUGGGCACGCUUGUCCCCCGUCUGGGAAGCUAGUAGAAAAGGACGAGCACAGAAAAAUUUUGAUAGGGAUUGGGAAGAUAUUGAUGGAAGUGGAAGGUUUGUAGGAUGAUUGUGGUAACUCUUGGCCGGUGGUGGCUGCUGCUCGCCGUCCCGUGGCCUGCCUGCAUGAGUAGUGGUGUCUGGAGGUCUUUACGGCCCUGGUAUUUUUAGAAGUGCUCCUGAGAGGAUAGUGGAAGUCAGUCCUGUUCUUUUGCUUCACAAGAGCUCUUAUCGAUGCCUAUGCCCAGAGCCUUCCACAAAUGAGAUGAGACAUUUUACUUGUCUGUGAAGCCUGGAGUUAAAGGACUGAGCACUGAACAUCUGGAUACACUUUAUCUCGGGAGCUGGGAAACUCUUCUCAAAAUUCCGCCAUGGCACAUCCCCGCAGGCCCUGCUGUUCAAGUGUUUGACAUUGCUGCAGCAAAGAUGGCUAAUCUUGCUAAAUGUGAAAUGCCGCAUUUCUUGAAUUCGCCGAUACCUGUGACUCUCGGUGUCAUUCAACGGAAGGGGCUGAGUGAUAAAAGCUGUCAGUCUGACGGCCGUCCACCAGCACUACACAAGAGGUGUCAGCAAAGGUAUUGGAUGUUGGGACAUCAUCACAGAACUGACCUAACCUGAGAGGACAAGGUUUCAACUCAGAUGACUCUCAAUUUAUUAUGUCAGGUGCUUAAAGACCCACCAAACCUGACAUCUUUUAAGGUUCGUAUUUUGCAAAGUCUAUUUAUCUCUCUGUAUU